rfam:Schistosoma mansoni, Puerto Rico, WGS project CABG01000000 data, contig: 0302
AUCCAGCAGACGAGUCCCAAAUAGGACGAAACGCGCAUCCUGGAU